rfam:Labrenzia alba strain CECT 5096 genome assembly, contig: 0010
CUCGUCAGGCUCAUAACCUGAAGGUCGCAGGUUCAAAUCCUGCUCCCGCAA